CCUACGGGGGGCUGCAGUGAGGAAUAUUGGUCAAUGGGCGCGAGCCUGAACCAGCCAAGUAGCGUGAGGGAAGACGGUCCUAUGGAUUGUAAAACUCUUUUGGCGGGGAGCAAAAGACGCCACGCGUGGCGUUCCGAGAGUACCCGAAGAAAAAGCAUCGGCUAACUCCGUGCCAGCAGCCGCGGUAAGACGGAGGAAGCGAGCGGUAUCCGGAUUUAGUGGGUUUAAAGGGUGCGCAGGCGGAAGAGCAAGUCAGCGGUAAAAUUGAGAGGCUCAACCUCUUCGAGCCGUUGAAACUGGUUUGCUUGAGUGAGCGAGAAGUAUGCGGAAUGCGUGGUGUAGCGGUGAAAUGCAUAGAUAUCACGCAGAACUCCGAUUGCGAAGGCAGCAUACCGGCGCUCAACUGACGCUCAUGCACGAAAGUGUGGGUAUCGAACAGGAUUAGAUACCCGAGUAGUC
rnacentral:rRNA from 1 species